rnacentral:lncRNA from 1 species
UUUGUUUCCUUUUUUUUUCGUAUACUUUUGUUUUCUGUUUCCUUUUUUUCGGUAUUUUUGUUUCCUUUUUUUUUCGUAUAUUUUUGUUUCUUUUUUUUCAUAUAUUUUUGUUUUCUGUUUUCUUUUUUUUCGGCUUUGUUGUUUCCUUUUUUCCGUAUAUUUUUGUUUGCUUUUUUCUUCCAUUUUGUUUCCUUCGUGUGAUUUUAUGCUAAAAUAAUCCUAUAUUUGUCUCCACAUUUUAUGUUAAUUUGAUUUGUUUCCACUAAUUUAGGGAUUCUCCUAAAAUAAUCCUAGUUUUGUUUUCAUUUAUAUUUGUUUUUCGAAUAUUUAAAAAAAACCGAAAU